UUUGCAUAAUUCUGACUCACGUUGGUUGCUAUCGGGCUUAAGCCAUAAAAAUCGAAGAAAAAAAGAAGAAGAUGAAGAGACUUUCACUUGUCAUUUCAAUGUCACUUUCCGGCCCACAAGCAUAAACGCCACCGGCAACGGAAGUUCCCAAAAUCCAAACAAAUGUUGGAAGAUAUUUUUAAGUUUCCACAUCUUUCUUACUUUCCUAUAUGAAAAUAAAAUUGGACUACACCAACAAAGGUUAUGUGUUUUGCACCAGAUUGAAAGCAUCAUAGCGAAAAACGGACCUGUCAUAUCUUUAAAUUUUCAAAAGAGCCCCUGGAAAAAGAAAAAUGAAUAUCUUUGCCAAGGAAUAGGUACUAAGGCAAAUGGAUAAAAAACCUUCAGUCCAUGCAUUGGUAUGUAAUUGUUGACAAAAAUACAAUGAAUGGCCUCACUACUUUUCCACAUGCAAAGAGGUUAACCAAGGAGAAAUUAAAGAAAUUGUCAAAAACCUAGGUAAAUACAGAAUUGCUUAGUACAAACAUAUCUAUACCCAGUACAAGUUCGUCCACUUCUUUGAAGCAUGGUACUUCAAACAGAGACACUGUCAACAAUUUUGUAGAAGGUGAGCCGGUGUCAAAUUCCAGUAAGGGACAUGAUUUCAAUUUUGCACCAACAGCAGAGCUAAAAUUCAUUUUGUCGCAAAAAACUGGAGGAUGUGAAAGAAAAAAGUGCAGAAGUUAAAAUUAAGUUUUUCAUAUGAGCACAUAAAAAAUAAUCAUGACAAAGUUCAGUUGUAUACAGGUUUGACAUGUAAUAAAUAUUUUUGUAAUCUUAUUAAGUUAAUUAGUUUUAUAUAUUAUUUAAAUAAUAAUUGUAUACUUCACAUAGAAUAUGCAGAAAUUAUAUGUACAUAUAUAAAUUUUUUUAUUAAGAUAAGGACAACAUGUAUUAAAGCAUAACACAUAAUAUAAACACACACGUAAUAUCUUCAUUAAAAAUUCUGAUUGUAUGUUAUGUAGCAUUAGAGCCUAAAAACAUUAAGGAGA